rnacentral:lncRNA from 1 species
CCCAGAAUCCUCCACCCCCUGACUAGGGUGGCAGGGGGGGAUCAUGGCGGUCGUAGUCCCACAAAGACCCUCUCGUAAGAUGCUUCCCCCUGACUAGGGUGGCAGGGGGGGGAUCAUGGCGGUCCCACAAAGACCCUCUCGUAAGAUGCUUGGUCUCCUCCUCACUCUGGUGUUGGCCGGAUGAAACCCCCGAGCCAGCGGCCGGCUUCCUUCCAGGACCUCUCCAGCCGGCUUGGAGAAGCCAAGAGGACCCGUUUCCCCCUCUGCUUUUGCCAGUGAGCCUCCCCCCCAGGGGCUGGGGGGGCACCGUGGAGGGUAAGCCGGAUGGACAGCCAGCCAGCCAGGCCCGGCCUGGGCCUCUCGGUGCCUCAAACACAGGAGCCCUUCUCUGCCCAGGCUGGCCCGGUGACGUUGAUGCUUUUGGCCUCCCUGCUGAACGUGGGUGGGUGGCUGCUUUGCCAUCAGAGGCUCGGUUGGCGGAGGGGGGGGCACACAGAGGAGAGAGAGAGAGGCAUGCCUCCCUUGCCUUUGCCAAGCUCAGAGGCUGCAUGCGUGUGUGGUCCUCUCUCCCUGCAGCGUCUCCCCCCCCCCGCCUCCUUCCUUGCAGCCACUGUGAGGACGUGAGCAGCCAGGAGCAGGGGCUCCCUUCCUCCCUGGUAUGUCAGCCAGCAGCAGAAAGAAAAAGCCAGGAUUUGCAACAGCAACCCUCCCCCUCCCUUCCCUGGUGGCCCUGGACAGAAAAAUGGAUCUCACUUCAGCACAGCUCGGAGAAGUCCCUUUUUGGGGAGAAGCACAACCCCCAGAUCCCUCUCUGCCUAAUGGCAUGUUGUCAUGCAAAGGACGUCAGCCGUUCUGCAGUUCAGGCCACGUCGGCUGCGGGUGGGAGGUCCUGGGAGCUACGGCUAGAAAAUGCAACCUUUCCACUGCCUAUAUAGAGCUCUGGAUGACAGUGGCUUGUUCACACACGCAAGGAGUUCUAAAUACCCCAUCCAAACCCUAGAAGAGGCUGCCCCAGGACUUGAAAACUUUCCUUUCCA